UACAGAGGGUGCGAGCGUUAAUCGGAAUUACUGGGCGUAAAGCGUGCGUAGACGGUUAUUUAAGUCGGAUGUGAAAGCCCCGGGCUCAACCUGGGAAUUGCAUUCGAGACUGGAUAGCUAGGGUGCGGUAGAGGGAAGCGGAAUUUCCGGUGUAGCGGUGAAAUGCGUAGAUAUCGGAAGGAACAUCAGUGGCGAAAGCGGCUUCCUGGACCAGCACCGACGUUCAGGCACGAAAGCGUGGGGAGCAAACAGG
rnacentral:rRNA from 1 species